UAACUACCGCCGCUGGAAACUAAACUGUUAGUAAGCGACCUUAACAGUGUGACAAUAACAACAACACGGCAAUAAUUAUUAACCUCGACAAUCACAGUGACUUAACGACACAAGACUAGUUAAAAGUGAGGUGUUUUAGGCAGUAAUUAGGGGGGACUGAAGGAAGUAAGAGUAAUGGAAUGACCGACUGGCAGCCAAUGAAGUUAAUAUCCUAUCCAUAUACAUGAUGACAGAAGCUUCAACGCUGGUCAAGUGGGGAUGUCUCCUAUUUUGUGUUAUAUUUACGGGAUGUGUGUCAGAUUCCCCACAAAGAGACCACAACAAACCACAGGCACUGGAGAGUAACAAGAACACAACACUGCCAGGCAAAGUCCCAACAGGAACCACAUCAUCCACCUCCCGACCACCGCCAACCACGCCUGAAAACUGUUCAGAUCUCACUUUCCGCGACGCCCGUGACUGCCCAAGUAAAUUGAAUUGUCACGAGCUAGGAAGAGAGUGUCUUGAUUGCACUUUUAACUGCAGCUGUGUCUAUGGUCAGGAGAUCAAUGUUACCUGCAGACCAAAAAAAGAUGAUUGUGAGGGCAAGAAAGAGUUUACACUGUCAUUGGUGUGCAGAUAUUGCUACCAGACUGCCUCCUGGGAACACACUUGCCUUGGAACUGAUCAAUGCCUGGCUGUUACGUCUCCGAGAGAAACCUUUACCUCCAACUGUACAGUGAAAAGUAAUGUGUUGUGCCUUGGUAACCGGAUAUUUCCAAAGAAGUUACCAUGUAAUUGGACAUCUGGGUACAAGUGGUCCACUGCAUUGUUGCUGUCUAUUACACUUGGAGGCUUUGGAGCAGACAGAUUUUACCUGGGACAUUGGCAAGAAGGAAUAGGAAAGCUGUUUAGUUUUGGUGGCCUGGGAGUUUGGACCAUCAUUGAUGUCAUCCUCAUCGCCAUCCGCUACUUGGGGCCAGCCGAUGGUUCAUUAUAUAUAUAAGACAAUGUAAUGUGAUUUAAAGAUGAUGAAAUGUUUGUAACCCAUGCAUGUAAGGAUGUCAUCAUACAACUCACCAGUGGAAUAUUUCCAAAAUGAAAAAUUCUUGAUGGAAAUAAAAUAGCAGCGAUAUACAAAUCAGAAAUAUGAAAAUAAUGCCAUGUCAGACAUGUUAACAACAGCUAAUACCAAUGGUCUCUUGUGUUUACAAUAAUAUAUUAAAUUGUGAUGCAUUGACAAGAAAAUUAUGGGAGUCAGAAGUAUUGAAAAAAAUAACAUGAGGAAAGUUUGAAAUGUUCCCAGCAGUACCAGUAAAGACUGAUAUGUAUAAAACACUAGCAUCAGAAAAAAGAAAAUGCUUGCAAUGACACUAUUAUUUGUAGUGAAUUGCUUUUGCACCCUUUUUUUUAUACUUGUAGUUACAAAUGUGUGGGUCUCUUGAUUCUCACAGACAAAUAGUGCGUACAAAAGGCUGGUCAAAAGUACUCUUGGUCAGUCAUUCAGGAUUGAUAUUCAUAGAGAUGGAUGACACAGCUAGAAAUGAUGUGACAGUUUUAUGAUUUAUGUUAAUUUCAGUAUAAUAAUUACUGUAUACAUGAAACUUAGUGAUUGUCUGACUUUGAUUUCCUGUUGGCUCUGUCAGACUGGAUGGUGUACCUGCCAUUAAAGAACAUGACAUAGGGAUUUAAUGGUAGUACAUUAUGUCUACAGGUCACUCGCUCACUUCCAUUCCUUAGUUAUCAAAUGGGAUUACAUAAUUUAAUCCGAGCACAUUUACAGUUUGGUGCAAUAUGGGGUGGUGUUAAUGGGUGAACUAGUUUCAAAAUCAUAAAUUGUAUAAUCUGCUGUGCAUUACUGGAUGAAUUGCAAAUAUGCUGUAUAAUUUUACAUUUUCUUUGCACAAGAGAGUCAUCAGUUGUAAAGAUAGUGCAGUAUUGGUUGUCUCGUGUGUGUGUGUGUGUGUGUGCGUGUGUGUGAAGAAUGCUAACCAUUUACUGCAAAAAUUUAGUUCAGGGAGAGUGGAUGGGAGGUAGAUGUUAGACCAAAGGAGCCACCUGCAGUGUGGAAAGCUUUGAGUGGAAACAUCUGCAUUAUACACAAACUAUUUCAUUAAUUUUAGUACUGAUCUUUAGAAUUCAUUACUAAGGAAGAUCAUACAAAUCUAUAAGGAGUAUAGAGCGUGUUAUUCUUUCCAACCCCAAGUAAAAGUUGUGUUACCCCUCAGCCAGUGUUAACCAAGAGUAUUGUUAUUAACCAUUUGUGUGUGUGUUCCUCAUUCACCUCGUCUUAUAAUUCUGAAUGGAUAAGUUGUAAAUUUAGUACAGUAGUUAUUACCAUUACCUCUCUGAUAUGUGUUUAUUCUUGUUUGUUCAUUCAUAAAGACUGGUUGAGGGGUCUGCCACAAAUUUUGCCUGUAUUUUUGUCACAGCUGACACCAUUUAUGUUGAAUUGAUGUAUAUUUCAUUAUGUUAAAUUAUUACAAAGAAUGAGUAUUGUAAACUGACUUGUAUAGCACAUUUUUAUAUGAAGAUGUAUGUACUGAAUAUAGUUGUAUGUUUACGCUUUUGUAUAUAUGUAU